rnacentral:rRNA from 1 species
AAUCUUCCGCAAUGGACGAAAGUCUGACGGAGCGACGCCGCGUGAGUGAUGAAGGUCUUAGGAUUGUAAAACUCUGUUGUUAGGGAAGAACAAGUAUGGGUCGAAUAAGCCCGUACCUUGACGGUACCUGACCAGAAAGCCCCGGCUAACUACGUGCCAGCAGCCGCGGUAAUACGUAGGGGGCAAGCGUUGUCCGGAAUUAUUGGGCGUAAAGGGCUCGCAGGCGGUUUUCUAAGUCUGAUGUGAAAUCUCGUGGCUUAACUACGAGCGGUCAUUGGAAACUGGAAGACUUGAGGACAGAAGAGGAGAGUGGAAUUCCACGUGUAGCGGUGAAAUGCGUAGAUAUGUGGAGGAACACCAGUGGCGAAGGCGACUCUCUGGUCUGUAACUGACGCUGAGGAGCGAAAGCGUGGGGAGCGAACA